rnacentral:rRNA from 1 species
UGGGGGAUAUUGCACAAUGGGCGAAAGCCUGAUGCAGCGACGCCGCGUGGGGGAUGAAGGCCUUCGGGUUGUAAACUUCUUUUGCUCUGAACAAGGCGCACCAUGGGGUGUGUUGAGUGUAGGGGUUGAUUAGCGCCGGCUAACUACGUGCCAGCAGCCGCGGUAAUACGUAGGGCGCGAGCGUUGUCCGGAAUUAUUGGGCGUAAAGGGCUUGUAGGUGGCUGGUUGCGUCUGUCGUGAAAGCUCAUGGCUUAACUGUGAGUUUGCGGUGGGUACGGGCUGGCUUGAGUGCAGUAGGGGAGGCUGGAAUUCCUGGUGUAGCGGUGGAAUGCGCAGAUAUCAGGAGGAAUACCGGUGGCGAAGGCGGGUCUCUGGGCUGUUACUGACACUGAGGAGCGAAAGCAUGGGGAGCGAACAGG